AAAUUGAAGAGUUUGAUCAUGGCUCAGAUUGAACGCUGGCGGCAGGCCUAACACAUGCAAGUCGAGCGGUAGCACAGAGAGCUUGCUCUCGGGUGACGAGCGGCGGACGGGUGAGUAAUGUCUGGGAAACUGCCUGAUGGAGGGGGAUAACUACUGGAAACGGUAGCUAAUACCGCAUAACGUCGCAAGACCAAAGUGGGGGACCUUCGGGCCUCAUGCCAUCAGAUGUGCCCAGAUGGGAUUAGCUAGUAGGUGGGGUAACGGCUCACCUAGGCGACGAUCCCUAGCUGGUCUGAGAGGAUGACCAGCCACACUGGAACUGAGACACGGUCCAGACUCCUACGGGAGGCAGCAGUGGGGAAUAUUGCACAAUGGGCGCAAGCCUGAUGCAGCCAUGCCGCGUGUGUGAAGAAGGCCUUCGGGUUGUAAAGCACUUUCAGCGGGGAGGAAGGCGUUAAGGUUAAUAACCUUGGCGAUUGACGUUACCCGCAGAAGAAGCACCGGCUAACUCCGUGCCAGCAGCCGCGGUAAUACGGAGGGUGCAAGCGUUAAUCGGAAUUACUGGGCGUAAAGCGCACGCAGGCGGUCUGUCAAGUCGGAUGUGAAAUCCCCGGGCUUAACCUGGGAACUGCAUUCGAAACUGGCAGGCUAGAGUCUUGUAGAGGGGGGUAGAAUUCCAGGUGUAGCGGUGAAAUGCGUAGAGAUCUGGAGGAAUACCGGUGGCGAAGGCGGCCCCCUGGACAAAGACUGACGCUCAGGUGCGAAAGCGUGGGGAGCAAACAGGAUUAGAUACCCUGGUAGUCCACGCCGUAAACGAUGUCGAUUUGGAGGUUGUGCCCUUGAGGCGUGGCUUCCGGAGCUAACGCGUUAAAUCGACCGCCUGGGGAGUACGGCCGCAAGGUUAAAACUCAAAUGAAUUGACGGGGGCCCGCACAAGCGGUGGAGCAUGUGGUUUAAUUCGAUGCAACGCGAAGAACCUUACCUGGUCUUGACAUCCACAGAACUUUCCAGAGAUGGAUUGGUGCCUUCGGGAACUGUGAGACAGGUGCUGCAUGGCUGUCGUCAGCUCGUGUUGUGAAAUGUUGGGUUAAGUCCCGCAACGAGCGCAACCCUUAUCCUUUGUUGCCAGCGGUCCGGCCGGGAACUCAAAGGAGACUGCCAGUGAUAAACUGGAGGAAGGUGGGGAUGACGUCAAGUCAUCAUGGCCCUUACGACCAGGGCUACACACGUGCUACAAUGGCAUAUACAAAGAGAAGCGACCUCGCGAGAGCAAGCGGACCUCAUAAAGUAUGUCGUAGUCCGGAUUGGAGUCUGCAACUCGACUCCAUGAAGUCGGAAUCGCUAGUAAUCGUAGAUCAGAAUGCUACGGUGAAUACGUUCCCGGGCCUUGUACACACCGCCCGUCACACCAUGGGAGUGGGUUGCAAAAGAAGUAGGUAGCUUAACCUUCGGGAGGGCGCUUACCACUUUGUGAUUCAUGACUGGGGUGAAGUCGUAACAAGGUAACCGUAGGGGAACCUGCGGUUGGAUCACCUCCUUACCUUAAAGAA
rnacentral:rRNA from 2 species